CCUACGGGAGGCAGCAGUGGGGAAUAUUGCACAAUGGGGGAAACCCUGAUGCAGCGACGCCGCGUGAGUGAAGAAGUAAUUCGUUACGUAAAGCUCUAGCAGCAGGGAAGAAAAGGACGGUACCUGAGUAAGAAGCCCCGGCUAACUCCGGGCCAGCAGACGCGGGCAUACGUAGGGGGCAAGCGAUAUCCGGAUUUACUGGGUGGAAAGGGAGCGUAGACGGUGCGCCAAGUAUGGAGGGAAAUGCCGCAGCUUAACUGCGGAACUGAUUUGGAGACUGGCGAACUAGGGUGCGGGAGGGGUAAGCGGAAUUCCUGGUGUAGCGGUGAAAUGCGUAGAUAUUG
rnacentral:rRNA from 1 species